GAUCUUUAGAAAAUACCAAAGGUUGACUCUUCUGACGCCUGUUUGUCUUCAGCGGCAGGGUGUGCAGCAGCAUCUCUAUGGAUCUUUAAAAGCUGAAAACCGCCUGUGGAUGCAACGUAAAGUACUGGAUUGUUAAAUGUGAAGGGGGAAACAGCGGAGGAAUACGCGGGGAAACGAAUAGAUGACUAAUUCUUCGUUAUUUCUCCUUUUUUUGGGUUUGUCCAUCAGCUCUUUGGAGGAGGAGGGAAUCAUAAAGAAGUUUGUGCGCGGCAUGAGGCUGAACGCUGCACAAGUAGAAACACAUCUUCUUCUUUUUUUUAAAUUACUAACGGGGGAUGGUUAUGAAGUGUUGCUGAGGCUCCUGCAGAGGCUUGGACUCCGGAGACCGGGGCCUGGGCGCACCGUGUCUGCUGAGACUGAGAGGGACCCGCGCUGCAGCGAACCACCUGGAAACUAUACGGUCCGCCAGACGCACCAAACCCACAAGACCCUCUCCUCUCUCCUCUCCCCCUGCCCCUCUCUUCUUCAUCUCUCCCCUCCUCGUCUCUCCUUCUUACCAACCGGGUUUUUUCUUCAGGCUGAUGUGGACUUUACUGCCACGACAGAAAUAAUCUUGUGAUGACUGAGCGCUCUUUGGGCACAUCUACCGAGUCCAUUACAGGAGGUGAAUGAUGGCCGAGGAAGGGGGAAAUCUCUCCGGGAUCCCCAACGCCAGGGUCUCGGAGGGUUGCUCCUCUCUGCCGAGGACUUUCAUCCGGCUCAACGACCUGUCCGGGGCCGGGACAGGAGGCGGGGAGCACGGCAAAGUGGCGGUGGAACCGGCGUCCCCGGUGCCUGACAGGGUCUCCAGAACCGGGGAUGAAACGUCGGCGAGCGACGAUGAGAACCUACCCUACCCCACCAUGGCCCCCGUGGUCUUCUUCUACCUGAAACAAAACACCCAGCCUCGGAGCUGGUGUCUCAACAUGGUCAACAACCCAUAACCUUUAAUACUUGUGAGAUAGGAGUCAUGUGCACGCUCCCACCUGUGGCAGUAGGCUGGGUUCCAGAGGAGACGGAGACGCUUGGUGAGCCAAGACGCAGCGCAGCCUGGAGAGCGACGAGAAGCAGAGUGACGGACUGGAGAACGACCUGUUAGUGUGCUUGUGAUAGAAAGCUUACCUGUGUGCGAAUAAAGCGGUGUGUGUG